CCUACGGGAGGCAGCAGUGAGGAAUAUUGCGCAAUGGGGGCAACCCUGACGCAGCGACGCCGCGUGAGUGAGGAAGGCCUUCGGGUCGUAAAGCUCUGUCAAGAGGAAAGAAGUGCAUAAUGGUUAAUACCUGUUAUGUUUGACGGUACCUCUAAAGGAAGCACCGGCUAACUCCGUGCCAGCAGCCGCGGUAAUACGGAGGGUGCAAGCGUUGUUCGGAAUCACUGGGCGUAAAGGGCGCGCAGGCGGUAUGGUAAGUCAGAUGUGAAAGCCCACGGCUUAACCGUGGAAGGGCAUUUGAAACUGCCAGACUUGAGUACCAGAGGGGAAAGUGGAAUUCCCGGUGUAGAGGUGAAAUUCGUAGAUAUCGGGAGGAAUACCGGUGGCGAAGGCGACUUUCUGGCUGAGUACUGACGCUGAGGCGCGAAAGCGUGGGGAGC
rnacentral:rRNA from 1 species